ACGCUAGCUACAGGCUUAACACAUGCAAGUCGAGGGGCAGCAUGGUCUUAGCUUGCUAAGGCCGAUGGCGACCGGCGCACGGGUGAGUAACACGUAUCCAACCUGCCGUCUACUCUUGGACAGCCUUCUGAAAGGAAGAUUAAUACAAGAUGGCAUCAUGAGUCCGCAUGUUCACAUGAUUAAAGGUAUUCCGGUAGACGAUGGGGAUGCGUUCCAUUAGAUAGUAGGCGGGGUAACGGCCCACCUAGUCUUCGAUGGAUAGGGGUUCUGAGAGGAAGGUCCCCCACAUUGGAACUGAGACACGGUCCAAACUCCUACGGGAGGCAGCAGUGAGGAAUAUUGGUCAAUGGGCGAGAGCCUGAACCAGCCAAGUAGCGUGAAGGAUGACUGCCCUAUGGGUUGUAAACUUCUUUUAUAAAGGAAUAAAGUCGGGUAUGGAUACCCGUUUGCAUGUACUUUAUGAAUAAGGAUCGGCUAACUCCGUGUCAGCAGCCGCGGUAAUACGGAGGAUCCGAGCGUUAUCCGGAUUUAUUGGGUUUAAAGGGAGCGUAGAUGGAUGUUUAAGUCAGUUGUGAAAGUUUGCGGCUCAACCGUAAAAUUGCAGUUGAUACUGGAUAUCUUGAGUGCAGUUGAGGCAGGCGGAAUUCGUGGUGUAGCGGUGAAAUGCUUAGAUAUCACGAAGAACUCCGAUUGCGAAGGCAGCCUGCUAAGCUGCAACUGACAUUGAGGCUCGAAAGUGUGGGUAUCAAACAGGAUUAGAUACCCUGGUAGUCCACACGGUAAACGAUGAAUACUCGCUGUUUGCGAUAUACAGCAAGCGGCCAAGCGAAAGCGUUAAGUAUUCCACCUGGGGAGUACGCCGGCAACGGUGAAACUCAAAGGAAUUGACGGGGGCCCGCACAAGCGGAGGAACAUGUGGUUUAAUUCGAUGAUACGCGAGGAACCUUACCCGGGCUUAAAUUGCAGAUGAAUUACGGUGAAAGCCGUAAGCCGCAAGGCAUCUGUGAAGGUGCUGCAUGGUUGUCGUCAGCUCGUGCCGUGAGGUGUCGGCUUAAGUGCCAUAACGAGCGCAACCCUUGUUGUCAGUUACUAACAGGUUCCGCUGAGGACUCUGACAAGACUGCCAUCGUAAGAUGUGAGGAAGGUGGGGAUGACGUCAAAUCAGCACGGCCCUUACGUCCGGGGCUACACACGUGUUACAAUGGGGGGUACAGAGGGCCGCUACCACGCGAGUGGAUGCCAAUCCCCAAAACCUCUCUCAGUUCGGACUGGAGUCUGCAACCCGACUCCACGAAGCUGGAUUCGCUAGUAAUCGCGCAUCAGCCACGGCGCGGUGAAUACGUUCCCGGGCCUUGUACACACCGCCCGUCAAGCCAUGGGAGCCGGGGGUACCUGAAGUGCGUAACCGCGAGGAGCGCCCUAGGGUAAAACUGGUGACUGGGGCUAAGU
rnacentral:rRNA from 1 species